ACAUCAGCGGCGAACGGGUGAGUACACGUGGGUGACCUUCCCCAAAGACGGGUAUAGGCGUUGGAAACAGGNGCUAAUACCCGAUGUGCUCAGCAGUUCACUCUGUUGAGUAAAGCUAUGGCGCUUUGGGAUGGGCCCGCGGCCCAUCAGCUAGUUGGUAGGGUAAUGGCCUACCAAGGCUAAGACGGGUAGGGGGCGUGAGAGCGCGAUCCCCCACACUGGCACUGAGACACGGGCCAGACUCCUAGGGGAGGCAGCAGUGAGGAAUAUUGCGCAAUGGACGAAAGUCUGACGCAGCGACGCCGCGUGGGCGAUGAAGGCCUUCGGGUCGUAAAGCCCUUUUCUGGGGGAAGAGAAAGGACGGUACCCCAGGAAUAAGCCCCGGCUAACUACGUGCCAGCAGCCGCGGUAAAACGUAGGGGGCAAGCGUUAUCCGGAUUUACUGGGCGUAAAGAGCGUUGAGGCGGUUUUGUAAGUUGGGCGUGAAAGCCCUGGGCUUAACUCAGGGAAGCCGUUCAAUACUGCGAAACUUGAGGGCAGCAGAGGGAGGUGGAAUUCCCGGAGUAGCGGUGAAAUGCGUAGAUAUCGGGAGGAACACCAGUGGCGAAGGCGGACUCCUGGGCUGCUCCUGACGCUGAAGGCGAAAGCUAGGGGAGCAAACGGGAUUAGAAACCCCGGUAGU
rnacentral:rRNA from 1 species